GUUGAUUCCACUAGGAACUGGAUCUGAUUUUGCAAGAACUUUUGGUUGGAAGAACGACCCUAAUCAAGCUAUUGAUUGCAUUGCUAAAGGACUGAAGAAAUACACAGAUGUUGGUGUGACUAGUCAACUAAGUUCCAAACAUCAUUACUUCUUGAAUGUUGCAGAUGUUCACUUAAGUGCAAAGGCCGGCUAUUAUGCUUCCAUGUAAAAAAAAUUUGGCAAUCUAUGUUAUGUUUUUGGUGCUAUGAGAGGUUUCAUUGGGCACAAAAACCGUGAUCUGAGGAUAAGGGUUGGUAACAUGUCUGAUAAUACUCACGUAGUCUGUAGUCUCAGUUAUUUAUGUACACUACGUUGUAUAAUUGUAUUUUUGUGCACUGUAGAUUGAUGCUGGUGAAUGGG